GACGAACGCUGGCGGCGUGCUUAACACAUGCAAGUCGAACGGCAAGGCCCUACUUUUUUGGGGUGCUCGAGUGGCGAACGGGUGAGUAACACGUGAGUAACCUGCCCUUGACUUUGGGAUAACUUCAGGAAACUGGGGCUACUACCGGAUAGGAGCUCCUGCUGCAUGGUGGGGGUUGGAAAGUUUCGGCGGUUGGGGAUGGACUCGCGGCUUAUCAGCUUGUUGGUGGGGUAGUGGCUUACCAAGGCUUUGACGGGUAGCCGGCCUGAGAGGGUGACCGGCCACAUUGGGACUGAGAUACGGCCCAGACUCCUACGGGAGGCAGCAGUGGGGAAUAUUGCACAAUGGGCGGAAGCCUGAUGCAGCAACGCCGCGUGCGGGAUGACGGCCUUCGGGUUGUAAACCGCUUUCGCCUGUGACGAAGCGUGAGUGACGGUAAUGGGUAAAGAAGCACCGGCUAACUACGUG
rnacentral:rRNA from 1 species